GACGAACGCUGGCGGCGUGCCUAAUACAUGCAAGUCGAGCGGACUUAAAAAGCUUGCUUUUUAAGUUAGCGGCGGACGGGUGAGUAACACGUGGGCAACCUGCCUGUAAGACUGGGAUAACUUCGGGAAACCGGAGCUAAUACCGGAUAAUCCUUUUCUACUCAUGUAGAAAAGCUGAAAGACGGUUUACGCUGUCACUUACAGAUGGGCCCGCGGCGCAUUAGCUAGUUGGUGAGGUAACGGCUCACCAAGGCGACGAUGCGUAGCCGACCUGAGAGGGUGAUCGGCCACACUGGGACUGAGACACGGCCCAGACUCCUACGGGAGGCAGCAGUAGGGAAUCUUCCGCAAUGGACGAAAGUCUGACGGAGCAACGCCGCGUGAGUGAUGAAGGUUUUCGGAUCGUAAAACUCUGUUGUUAGGGAAGAACAAGUACGAGAGUAACUGCUCGUACCUUGACGGUACCUAACCAGAAAGCCACGGCUAACUACGUG
rnacentral:rRNA from 1 species